GUUCAAUAGGACUGGUGUUAAUGGGCUUCCAUGUCUCGUUUGAAUUCUCAAGGGGAAUAUUUCAGCUUUUGCCUGUUCAGUGUGAUGUUGGCUGUAGGUUUGUUACAGACGGCUUUUUUUUAUAUUGAGGCUUUGUGACUCUGACUGGCUUCCUGGCUCCUCAGCUUACAGAUGGUCUACUGUGGGACUUCACUUUGUGAUUGUGUUUUUAUAUUUCUAACAAUCGAGUGGCUCCACCUGGACCUGCCAACCAGUUCCGUGGCCCCACUCAGGAACUCACUCAGCAAAAGAGAACAGCUGUGACGCCCUGUGAUUUCAUCCCCAAGCCGACAAUCAGCACAGCACUCCCGAGUCACUGGCCCCCUACCCACCAAAUUAUCCUUAAAAACUCUGAUCCCCAAGUUUUUGGGGAGACUGAUUUGAGUAAUAAUGAACCUCGAGUCUCCUACACAGCCGGCUCUGCUUGAAUUACUCUUUCUCUAUUUCAAUUCCCCUGUGUUGAUAAAUAGACUCUAUCUAGGCAGUGGGCUAGGUGAGCCCCUUGGGCAGUAACAUACAUACCGGACAAUGUAAUCAUUAUUCUAAACUAGUUUGUUUUUGGUGGAAGUGUGUGGGUGUGUGUUCUAAAGUUUAUUAACAAAUAAUUAAUAAAUAGCCUCCAGCACCAUAUGCAUUGCAUACUUGUAGAAGUAGAUCUGGAUAUUGUUAGAACUCACCCUUAAAUAAGUAUGGGAUUCUAUUUUUUUUUUUAAAGUAGAAAAGUUAAAUACAAACAUAAGCAUCUAUUUAAAGUAGAAAAGGAAAUAUAAUGAAAUGCAAAUUUUUAAAAGUGUGAUUUCUGUGAAAUUCAGAAAAUAAUAGUUUUUUCUAUUUGUACCUAAUACACUUGUAAAAUAUUUCUUUUGCAUUUUUAAAUUGUGCAUCUUUGGUUGCCUCUAGAAAAAACUAUUAUUUUAAUAUGCUUUUUUCCUAAAGAGAAUAUAAGUAUAGUUCAGUCUUUCUUCUUCUAUAAUUGAUUGAAUUUUAUUAUUAUUAUUGAUAGUUGGGAUUCAUGAGCUUCUCACACAGAGACACUUCGUGCUUGUAGUACUACUAUAGGUUUUGGCCCACAAACCCAUAAAUUGUAAUAAGUUCUACUGUUUGAGAUUUCCUAUAAAAAAUAAAAAUAAUGCUUUGUGCAUUUAAAAUUACAUAUUACUUGUCUAUAUUUUACACAGAAUUUAUACUUUUAGUUGACAUUGUUAAAAGCCUAAUCCUUUGCUUUAAU
rnacentral:lncRNA from 10 species